rnacentral:rRNA from 1 species
AAAUUGAAGAGUUUGAUCAUGGCUCAGAUUGAACGCUGGCGGCAGGCCUAACACAUGCAAGUCGAACGGUAACAGGAAGCAGCUUGCUGCUUUGCUGACGAGUGGCGGACGGGUGAGUAAUGUCUGGGAAACUGCCUGAUGGAGGGGGAUAACUACUGGAAACGGUGGCUAAUACCGCAUAACGUCGCAAAACCAAAGAGGGGGACCUUCGGGCCUCUUGCCAUCAGAUGUGCCCAGAUGGGAUUAGCUUGUUGGUGAGGUAACGGCUCACCAAGGCGACGAUCCCUAGCUGGUCUGAGAGGAUGACCAGCCACACUGGAACUGAGACACGG